rnacentral:rRNA from 1 species
GAUGAACGCUGGCGGCGUGCCUAAUACAUGCAAGUCGAGCGAACAGACGAGGAGCUUGCUCCUUUGACGUUAGCGGCGGACGGGUGAGUAACACGUGGAUAACCUACCUAUAAGACUGGGAUAACUUCGGGAAACCGGAGCUAAUACCGGAUAACAUGUUGAACCGCAUGGUUCAACAGUGAAAGACGGUCUUGCUGUCACUUAUAGAUGGAUCCGCGCCGCAUUAGCUAGUUGGUACGGUAACGGCUUACCAAGGCAACGAUGCGUAGCCGACCUGAGAGGGUGAUCGGCCACACUGGAACUGAGACACGGUCCAGACUCCUACGGGAGGCAGCAGUAGGGAAUCUUCCGCAAUGGGCGAAAGCCUGACGGAGCAACGCCGCGUGAGUGAAGAAGGUCUUCGGAUCGUAAAACUCUGUUAUUAGGGAAGAACAAAUGUGUAAGUAACUAUGCACGUCUUGACGGUACCUAAUCAGAAAGCCACGGCUAACUACGUG